rnacentral:rRNA from 1 species
ACAGAGGGUGCGAGCGUUAAUCGGAAUCACUGGGCUUAAAGCGUGCGUAGGCGGAUGUGCAGGCAUGUUGUGAAAUCCCAUGGCUCAACCAUGGAAUAGCUUCGUGAACCGCACAUCUUGAGACAGGCAGAGGCGGUCGGAACGAUAGGUGGAGCGGUGAAAUGCGUAGAUAUCUAUCGGAACGCCAACGGAGAAGUCAGGUCGCUGGGCCUGUUCUGACGCUGAGGCACGAAAGCGUGGGGAGCAAACGGG